rnacentral:rRNA from 1 species
AGAGGACCCAAACUCUAAUGUUUCUUAUUGUAACUUCUGAGUAAAACAAACAAAUAAAUCAAAACUUUCAACAACGGAUCUCUUGGUUCUGGCAUCGAUGAAGAACGCAGCAAAAUGCGAUAAGUAAUGUGAAUUGCAGAAUUCAGUGAAUCAUCGAAUCUUUGAACGCACAUUGCGCCCGCUGGUAUUCCGGCGGGCAUGCCUGUUCGAGCGUCAUUUCAACCCUCAAGCCCCCGGGUUUGGUGUUGGGGAUCGGCUCUGCCUCACGGCGGUGCCGCCCCCGAAAUACAUUGGCGGUCUCGCUGCAGCCUCCAUUGCGUAGUAGCUAACACCUCGCAACUGGAACGCGGCGCGGCCAUGCCGUAAAACCCCAACUUCUGAAUGUUGACCUCGGAUCAGGUAGGAAUACCCGCUGAACUUAAGCAUAUC